CCGAACAAACUAAUAUUGGACAGUUGGAGUUCAGCCCUGCACGACCCUUUGACAAAGCCCUUCCCUCACUUCUAGCCACCAUUGUCCAUUGUUCACACCUAACACAACCUAGUGGUAGCAUGUCACUUCCUCCUUGCCAGCCAGUUCACCCCAGCCUGUUAUAAAAGAAAAAAGUCAAUUUUUAUGUUCUCCCCCAACCGACAGUGAGCUUCACGGUGACAUCUAUCCUAAUCUACACUGACUUUCACCCUACUUCGACCACAACCAGACUUUCAUAGUUAAUAGGGUGGUAAUUUUGCUGGUUUCGACAUUAUGUACAUGCAUGAGUUUAAUCACCCCUCCCUCCUCUUUUCCUUUUCAGUUAUGAGAUUAAAGUGAGGGAAUGACAAGAGAAGAUCAUGAACCAACGAAAAUUACAGAUGUGUUGAAAUUUGUUGUCAGAAUCUGUUUGAAUGAUGAACUUCAUGCAUACAAUUGUUGUGGUUGUCACAACUGGAAUCUAUUAAACAAAAUCAAAUACUUGAUAAUAACUACCUCUCCACACUGUUAUGUUUCUUGUUUUU